rnacentral:rRNA from 1 species
UACGAAGGGUGCAAACGUUGCCCGGAAUUAUUGGGCGUAAAGCGCACGUAGGCGGCUUAGCAAGUCGGAAGUGAAAUCCCUCGGCUCAACCAAGGAAGUGCUUUCGAAACUGCUGAGCUUGAGUACUUAAGAGGAUCGCGGAAUUCCCGGUGUAGAGGUGAAAUUCGUAGAUAUCGGGAGGAACACCAGUGGCGAAGGCGGCGAUCUGGGAAGAUACUGACGCUGAGGUGCGAAAGCGUGGGGAGCAAACAGG